rnacentral:rRNA from 1 species
GUAAACUGCUUUAGCCAGGGGCUAAACCUAACGGUUGCGUUGGUAGCUGAAGGUACCUGGAGAAUAAGCAUCGGCUAAUUCCGUGCCAGCAGCCGCGGUAAUACGGAGGAUGCGAGCGUUAUCCGGAUUUACUGGGUUUAAAGGGUGCGCAGGCGGUUGUUUAAGUCAGGGGUGAAAGCCCUAUGCUCAACAUAGGGAUUGCCUUUGAUGCUGAACGGCUAGAGUGAAGAUGGAGUGGGUGGAAUGUGUUGUGUAGCGGUGAAAUGCAUAGAUAUAACACAGAACACCGAUCGCGAAGGCAGCUCACUAAUUUUCAACUGACGCUCAUGCACGAAAGCGUGGGGAUCAAACAGGAUUAGAUACCCUGGUAGUCCACGCUGUAAACGAUGAUCACUAGCUGUUGGUACGCUGAAGUAUCAGUGGCUAAGCGAAAGUGAUAAGUGAUCCACCUGGGGAGUACGACCGCAAGGUUGAAACUCAAAGGAAUUGACGGGGGCCCGCACAAGCGGAGGAGCAUGUGGUUUAAUUCGAUGAUACGCGAGGAACCUUACCAGGGCUCGAACGCAGGGGGGAUAUACCUGAAAGGGUAUAGCCAGCGAUGGUCGCCUGCGAGGUGCUGCAUGGUUGUCGUCAGCUCGUGCCGUGAGGUGUCAGGUUAAGUCCUAUAACGAGCGCAACCCCUAUCCAUAGUUGCCAGCGGGUAAAGCCGGGGACUCUAUGGGAACUGCCUGCGCAAGCAGAGAGGAAGGAGGGGAUGACGUCAAAUCAGCACGGCCCUUAUGUCCUGGGCUACACACGUGCUACAAUGGUCGGUACAGAGGGCAGCGACCACGUGAGUGGGAGCCAAUCCUUAAAAGCCGAUCUCAGUUCGGAUUGGAGUCUGCAACCCGACUCCAUGAAGUUGGAUUCGCUAGUAAUCGCGCAUCAGCCAUGGCGCGGUGAAUACGUUCCCGGGCCCUGUACACACCGCCCGUCAAGCCAUGGGAGCUGGGGGUACCUGAAGUUCGUGACCCGCGAGGGAGCGACCUAGGGUAAACUCAGUGACUGGGGCUAAGUCGUAACAAGGUAGCCGUAGAAUCG